rnacentral:rRNA from 1 species
UACGGAGGAUGCGAGCGUUAUCCGGAUUUAUUGGGUUUAAAGGGUGCGUAGGCGGCUUUUUAAGUCAGCGGUGAAAUUUUGCAGCUUAACUGUAACAGUGCCGUUGAUACUGGGGAGCUAGGAUUUGGUUACUGUGGGUGGAAUGUGUGGUGUAGCGGUGAAAUGCUUAGAGACCACACAGAAUAUCGAUUGCGAAGGCAGCUCACAAAGCCAAGAUUGACGCUGAGGCACGAAAGUGUGGGGAUCAAACAGGAUUAGAUA